GAUGAACGCUGGCGGCGUGCCUAAUACAUGCAAGUCGAGCGAGCAGACGAGGAGCUUGCUCCUCUGACGUUAGCGGCGGACGGGUGAGUAACACGUGGAUAACCUACCUAUAAGACUGGGAUAACUUCGGGAAACCGGAGCUAAUACCGGAUAAUAUAUUGAACCGCAUAGUUCAAUAGUGAAAGACGGUUUUGCUGUCACUUAUAGAUGGAUCCGCGCCGCAUUAGCUAGUUGGUAAGGUAACGGCUUACCAAGGCAACGAUGCGUAGCCGACCUGAGAGGGUGAUCGGCCACACUGGAACUGAGACACGGUCCAGACUCCUACGGGAGGCAGCAGUAGUGAAUCUUCCGCAAAGGGCGAAAGCCUGACGGAGCAACGCCGCGUGAGUGAUGAAGGUCUUCGGAUCGUAAAACUCUGUUAUUAGGGAAGAACAAAUGUGUAAGUAACUAUGCACGUCUUGACGGUACCUAAUCAGAAAGCCACGGCUAACUACGUG
rnacentral:rRNA from 1 species